rnacentral:rRNA from 1 species
UUAUAAAAUAUAUUAAAAAUAAUUAUAAAUUUUAAAUAAAUAAAAUUAUACAAAAUAAAUAAUAUUAUAGUAGUAAAAACUAAAUAAUAAAUAUAUAUAUUAAUAGUUAAAUAGUAAUGUAAAUGAAAAAUUUUAAAAUUUAAGUUAAAAUAAAUAAUUUAGUACCUUUUGCAUCAGGGAUAAUUAAACUAAUGUAAUAAUUUUACAAAUCCCGAAUUCAAAUAAGCUAUAUAUAUAUGAUUAUUUUUGUUGCAAAAAAAUUAUUAAUAUAAAUAUAGAAGCUAUAUGUUAAUCGACUUUGAAUAUAUCUGGUUUUUUAAAAGUGAAUUUAAUUCUUAUUAAGAUUGAAAUAAAAUUUUAAUUAAUAAAUAAUUUUAUUAAUCUUUUAUAAAAUUUAUGGGAUAAGCUAUAAAUUUAAAUUUAUUAUUUAAUAUUUUUAAUUUAAAUAAAAAUUCUAUAUACAUAAAAUUUGUAAUUAGUUUAAAAUAUUUUAUAAUAUAAACAAAUAUUAAUAAAAAUUUAAAAUUUAAAAUAUAAAAAAAUGAAAAAAAAAUAAAACAAUCAAUUCAUUAUUGCUAUAAUGAUUAUAUAAGUAGUUAUUUAUAAUAUAUAAAAUUUUAUAAUUUAAAAUAAAUAAAUUUAAGGAACUAGGCAAAUAAUAAUAUAUUCACCUGUUUAACAAAAACACCGCCUAUAGAUAUUAAUUUUAGGUCAAUCUGCCCAAUGAGAUAUUUAAUGGCUGCGGUAUAACUGACCGUACUAAGGUAGCAUAAUCAAUUGUUUUUUAAUUGAAAACUAGAAUGAAAGAAUUAAUGAAAUAUAUACUGUCUCAAUAUUAUAUAAUAAAAUUAGAUUUUAAGUUAAAAUACUUAAAUUUAAUUGUAGGACGAUAAGACCCUAUAGAAUUUAAUAUCUUAAUAUUUAUUCAAUUAAAAAUAUAUUAAUAAAAUUUAAAUUAAGAUAUUUUACUGGGAGGGUAAUUAAAUUUAUUAAACUUUAAUUUUUAAUAAACUAAAAUUUAAGGAAAAUAAAAUGAUCUAAUAUUAUUAAAUAAAAGAAAAAAUUACCUUAGGGAUAACAGCGUAAUAUCUUUUUAGAGACCUAAUCGAUAAAGAUGUUUGCGACCUCGAUGUUGAAUUAAGAUAAAUUUUAAACGCAGAAGUUUAAUAAAUUAAGUCUGUUCGACUUUUAAAAUCUUACAUGAUUUGAGUUCAGAUCGACGUAAGUCAGAUCGGUUUCUAUCCACAAUAAAAAUAUAAUUUUUUGUACGAAAGGACUAAAAUUAUUAAUAUAGAUAUUUAUAUAAAUAAUAAUAAAAAUAAUUUUAC